AUUGAACGCUGGCGGCAUGCCUUACACAUGCAAGUCGAACGGCAGCACGGGAGCAAUCCUGGUGGCGAGUGGCGAACGGGUGAGUAAUAUAUCGGAACGUGCCCAGUCUUGGGGGAUAACGCAGCGAAAGCUGUGCUAAUACCGCAUACGAUCUAAGGAUGAAAGCAGGGGAUCGCAAGACCUCGCGCGACUGGAGCGGCCGAUAUCAGAUUAGCUAGUUGGUGGGGUAAAGGCCCACCAAGGCGACGAUCUGUAGCUGGUCUGAGAGGACGACCAGCCACACUGGAACUGAGACACGGUCCAGACUCCUACGGGAGGCAGCAGUGGGGAAUUUUGGACAAUGGGCGCAAGCCUGAUCCAGCAAUGCCGCGUGCAGGAUGAAGGCCUUCGGGUUGUAAACUGCUUUUGUACGGAACGAAACGGCCCUUUCUAAUACAGGGGGCUAAUGACGGUACCGUAAGAAUAAGCACCGGCUAACUACGUGCCAGCCGCCGCAGUAAGAC
rnacentral:rRNA from 1 species